UAGCUGAAAUUGAUUAGGAACAAGUUUACACUAAGAUGUAAUAUUCAUAAGUACAAGUCACCCUUAAAACAAAAUUAAAAUGAUUAUCCAGGGUUUAGCACUGAUUUAACUAAAUUGGUUUAAAAACAGAUUUAAGUUAAGCCGGUGCAACUUCUAUGGGUAGAUAAGCCCCAAUCAUGCUUGCGUCCUUCCAUCCCCCCGCAAUUUGAAAAGAGAGGAUACUUUUCAAACCAACAAUACAAGCACAAAGUAUCAGUGAAUUAGGCUUUGGAAUGACUAAGCUAGCUACUGUAUCGUUCACAUUAAUCAUUCAUGUUUGAUAUUUCGCCAGUUGGAACACACGGUAUAAUCUCUUGUGAUGUAUCAGUUUGUCCUUCAUGUAUUUCAGGGAGUUCAAAGAGUUGCACUGCUACUUGCUCGUUACGGAAUAACUAUAUCGAAUCACAAACUUGACUUGGCAGUGGAUUCCAGCAGAGCUAUUUUUACCUCAGUAAUAUAACAGUUUUUAAAAGUCCUCUGCUCUGGAAGGAGCGAGUUCAGGGAGGCAGAUUGAGAACGUCAGGUCCUAGCUAUCAAUACUCAGUGGGAGCCAGGCGUGUGCAUCUGAAGGCAGAACGGGACUUUUUUCUUCAACUGGCUAACAUGAAAAUGUCCUUGCAAAAAUGGGCUCAAAACUGGAUGUCAGCAUAACAACUGAGUUAGAAAUGCUGGGUGUUCAGGUCUUUGUAUGAUGAUAUGCGGGGGCCAGUCGUGGAAAUAUUUCAUAAACUCCCCAUCCACAGCAAGGGUCACAAAGGGGCAGUUUUUAGGACCUUGCAUGGUAAUGCAGGCUCCUCUGCUAAGCCACUCUUCUCUGCAUCUGUGAGGUUCCAGCCCUUAGUGCAGGUGUUAGGACCUUGUGUUAGAGGCAGAGUAAUUAGUGCUGAUUCAGGAUAGUGGGAGGAUCUUACUAGCUUGUGAGGAGUUGAAAGGUGCUGGAGGAUCAAGCUGGAGCAAAGGGAUCCACAGAACUAGAUCUGAAGAGGCCCAAGGAACUCCCACAUGCGCGGGAAAAGCUUUAAGCUGAUGUCAAACUCCAGGAAGGGGAAAGUUUGGACUAUAUGCAGUGUGAGUAUAUUCUGCCUGCUUACUCAGGGUUCGAGGACAGUUUCUCUGACUACUGUGGAGGGGAUCCUUCCCCCUUUAUAACUGUGGUUUUUAAAGAUUCAGAAUCACUGUGUGCUCUGUAGAUCUGCCAUGCCACCCUUGUGAUGGGUUGCUGUAAAAUUAAUCCCAGUCGUGGGAUGGAGAAUUUUGCCACUUGGUUCCAAUAAGACAUUUUUAGAAUUGUACUGACAAUUGUUUGUUGAUGAUCACACUUAUUUAAACAGUCCCAUGGCUGAAGACCGUUGGCUUUUGUCAAUGGGCUUUUGUGUCUUGCAUGUGCUACUCAGAAUAAGUGGCUGUGGUUUAAAUGCCUAACAGAAAUUCAGCUGGCUCUCCAGAUAGCACAAAUAAAAGGAAAGAAAACUUUAACUAUAACACAGUAAGGAUAUGGGGCCUUUUGGCCCAUACAUUGGUUUGAAAUAGCUUUACAGAGACCUAUGCAUUAUGAGAGGAGAAAAAAGUUCUGUGUCAUAGAGUGGUGUGCGCACAUUGCUGUUACUCGAGAGAGAUGGCCUUGAACGGUGCUUGAUUUAGAGGAAACAGUAAGGUGGUGAUUUCACUGUUUGUCUUCUCCACCCAGUGAAAACAAACAAUAUCAUAAGUCUAAAUGGACAAAGGCCACUGAAUUCUCCUCUCAUUCUAUUCUCAUUGGACAAUCUGCUGACAGUGGAGUUGCUCUAGAUUUAUGCUAGUGUAACUGAGAGCAAAAAUUUGGCCCAGUGUGUUUGAGGACAGAAUUUAGGUGCCCCUUUAGGUAUUAUCCUAAACCGAAAGACUGAUUACAGGUUCACAGCAGGGUUUCUAGGGAGCUUUUCCUAGUAUAGUAACAAAAGUCAUUUUCUCCACAAAAUGUAGGGAAGGAAGAAUACCAUUAAAUCAGUCACACGCUAGCCUUUCCCUUGCAGUCACUAUUCUGCUUACUUCCUCAAAUGUAAUUAAUUAUUGUUUGUAGUGGCUGGAGAAGGAGGCCUAGACCACACAAGGUGGAGAGACAGCCAAGUGUUGAGGGAGGUAAGAUAAGAUAACUGUGAAAUGAGCACAUUUGGUACAGUAAGUAGUUGUUGCAGCAUCUGCUUUUACACCCAUGUAAUUUCAGUGGAGUUACUUCUUACUAACAGUAGCAUAGUUAAGAGCAGAGUGGGUCCUUGGAUGUUGUUUAGUUGCUUUUCUAGUUUGGCUACAGUACACAAGCCAUAAAAAUGGAUGUUCUAAUGUCAACAACAACAAACUUGAUCAGAGUAUCCUAACUGUAAGUUAGCAUUGAUGGUCCAAUAUCAAUUCAGUUAGGGUUGUUUUUUCCCUUCACCCAAUUUACAGCCCAGGAUCGGUCAUUGAGAAAAGCAUAUGAACCCUAGAAUAAAGGCAGGCUACCCUGUGACAAAAGGUGCAAUGAAACACGCUCCAACUGCAUCACACACUAUGGAGGGGCCACUGAAGCUGUUGCUAAAUACCAGCCAGCUGAUGGUAAUGAACCGCUCGACAGCCAGCUGUAAUUAUCUGGGGAAUCAGUAGAGAGAAAAACUGUCUUUCUGAGCCACUGAACUAGAAAAUAGGCUUUUUAUAGGAUCAUCAUAAUCUCUGGCUAACAACAACAUGAAGACUGUAGUUCUAAGAAAACUAUGGCAGGGCAGUUCAAUUAUGUAUAAUUUAUUCAUAAUUCUCUCAUCUUCCAUUUCCCUUCUUACAUCCUUACUCACAACAAAUUUGUGUUCAGUGAGCUCUGAUUGGAGAGGCAGCCAUGACUAAGGAGCUGGUCAAGCUUCUGCUAGGCAGUAUUUGAUGCUCUGGAAGGAUGUGAUAAGAAUGACAAAGCUAGGAUAAACUGCCUUCCACAUCACCAGCAUGGCUAUUGGUUGCCACCACUGUAAGUAAGAUGGAAGUUGUCUAAAUUUUAGAAUCUUUUUUUUACAUUUAAAAAAAAAUCAAAUUAAAUCAAGAUGUAAACAAGAGAGGCAGAUUCUGCUCCCCGUCACCCCAACAGAAAUCUGGAUUUAAAAAUGCCACUCACUUGUACUAGUCUUACACUGGUAUAACACUAUUGACUUCCAGGGAGUGACCUCUAAUUUACAUUGCUAUGAGAGAAGAAACUGGGGUAAUUCUUUAGUGUGAUUGAGAGCAGAAUUUACUGCUGCAAUAACGUUAAUAGUUUAAAGGUUUGAUCUAUUUUUUAACAAAUCAGUAUGCCUUUAAAAGAAAGUUUAGAUACCUGCGCUUGGUUGUUUCCCCUGAAAAUUAUAGCGUAUCGAAACUGUUUAGUGAUUAUUAUUUUUACGGCACCCAAAAAUAUGCUAGGUAUAUUUACAGUACAAAUAACAAAAGACGAAGUGUAACUGUCAUCUUAGGAGAGAUCAGGCCCUUUCUAUUUUUAAUUAUUUUUGUAAAACUGUCUUUUUAUUAAGACUUUGUCAUAAUGCAGAGAAGGGGGGUUGAGGCCCUGGAGUGGGACUCAAGAGAGCUGGAUUCCAUUCCCAGAUGUGCCAUGGAUUUCCUGGGCAACUUGGCCAAGUUGCUUAAUCUGGGUCAGUUUCCUAUUUGUUAAAUGGGAAUGAUAAUGUACCCUUUCCCCUACACUUUGUUGCCUAUUUAGAUUGUAAGCUCUUCAGAGCAGAGAAUGUCUCUCAUUAUGUGUGUGUACAGUGCCUGUCACUGUGGGGCCCUGUUCUAAGUUGAUGCCUCUAAGGAUGUGUUUGCACUGCAAAAAUAAACCCAUGGCAGAGAGUCUCAAAGCCCAGGUCUACAUACUUGGGAUCAUGGGGGUCAUGCUAUAGUGCUAAAAAUAGCCAUGUAGACAUUCUGUCUGAGUCUACAUAGCAAUUUUCAGCACCAUAGCUCAAGCCUGAGUCGGUAGAGCCAGGCUCUGAGACUUGCUGCCGCAAUGUGCUGCUUUUUCUUUUUCCUGUCGUGUUAUGAAUUGGUUGUGUUUUUGUUUUGCAGUGUAGGCAUACCCCAAGUGCUACUGUAAUCACCUAGGCUGCAACUCUGUGGAGUCUCAUUCAUGUGUAAGAAAAUCUCAUGGGGACUGUUUGUGAGAAUAAGGACUAUUAUGUUGAGUUGAGCUCCGCAGGAUCUUCUAGUGUAAUCGUCUUGGGGCAAAGACUCUGCCUUACUUUGUUUGGUGCUGUACAGAACUUAGGGUUGACACUAAACAAAUAAUACGUUACGGUCUUGAUCCAGCAACCAUUGGUGAUGAAAGGAAAUGUAAAUGCCAGUUCCACAGAACAGAAAUGUCAUUUGUGAAAAGCAUCAUUGACUUCCUUGUUAAGAGUGGAUUUUGUGAUAUCAAAGAUA